rnacentral:rRNA from 1 species
AUUGAACGCUGGCGGCAGGCCUAACACAUGCAAGUCGAGCGGAGCGGCGGACGGGAGAGUAAUGCCUAGGAAUCUGCCUGGUAGUGGGGGAUAAAGUCCGGAAACGGGCGCUAAUACCGCAUACUAUCAGAUGAGCCUAGGGCGGAUUAGCUAGUUGGUGGGGUAAAGACAUACAAAGGCUACGAUCCGUAACACGUCUGCGAGGAGGAUCAGUCACACUUGAACUGAGACACGGCCCAUACUCCUACGGGAGGCAGCAGUGGGGAAUUUUGUGCAAUGGGCGAAAGCCUGAUCCAGCCAUGCCGCGUGUAUGAAGAAGGCCUUCGGUUUGUAAAGUACUUUCAGCUGGGAGGCGUUACCCGCAGAAGAAGCACCGGCUAACUCCGUGCCAGCAGCCGCGGUAAUAC